ACGGAGAUUAUUUUAAGCUUGCUUUUGAUGAUCUUAGUGGCAAACGGGUGAGUAACGCGUAGGCAACCUGCCUUUCCGAUGGGGACAACAGUUCGAAAGGACUGCUAAUACCGAAUGAUGUAUAUCUUCCGCAUGGAGGACAUACCAAAGACGGCCUCUAUUUAUAAGCUGUCACGGAAAGAUGGGCCUGCGUCUGAUUAGCCAGUUGGCGGGGUAAUGGCCCACCAAAGCGACGAUCAGUAGCCGGUCUGAGAGGAUGAACGGCCACAUUGGGACUGAGACACGGCCCAAACUCCUACGGGAGGCAGCAGUGGGGAAUCUUCCGCAAUGGACGAAAGUCUGACGGAGCAACGCCGCGUGAGUGAAGAAGGUUUUCGAAUCGUAAAGCUCUGUUGUCAGGGACGAGCAGGGGGAGUAUCAACAACACUCUCUUAUGACGGUACCUGACGAGGAAGCCACGGCUAACUACGUGCCAGCAGCCGCGGUAAUACGUAGGUGGCGAGCGUUGUCCGGAAUUAUUGGGCGUAAAGGGAGCGCAGGUGGGAAAGUAAGUCUGCUUUAAAAGUGCGGGGCUCAACCCCGUGAGGGAGUGGAAACUAUUUUUCUUGAGUGCAGGAGAGGAAAGCGGAAUUCCUAGUGUAGCGGUGAAAUGCGUAGAUAUUAGGAGGAACACCAGUGGCGAAGGCGGCUUUCUGGACUGUAACUGACACUGAGGCUCGAAAGCCAGG
rnacentral:rRNA from 1 species